rnacentral:misc_RNA from 1 species
UUUCCGUAGGUGAACCUGCGGAAGGAUCAUUAUUGUAUAACCGAGGUGCGAGGGCUGUCGCUGACCCGAAAGGUCGUGCACGCACGAGUGCCCUCACCUACAUCCAUGUCACCCCUAUGUGCACCACCGCGUGGGUCGCCCUGUGGCUUGUUCGGUGGGGGGCUGACGUUGCCAAACAAACUUUGUAUGCAGUGUAGAAUGUAUUUUUUGUUUUUGAGAUCACGCAAUCAAUACAACUUUCAACAACGGAUCUCUUGGCUCUC